UUCCUCGUAGUUCAGUCGGUAGAACGGCGGACUGUUAAUCCGUAUGUCACAGGUUCAAGUCCUGUCGAGGGAGCCA
rnacentral:tRNA from 1 species